UUUUUUUUGUUGAACUUGAGUUUGUGUCGUUUUUGAACUUGAGUUUGUGGUGUUUUUGAACUUGAGUUUGUGUCGUGUUUGAAGUUUGUGGCAACUUAUGAACUUGAGUUUGUUUGGCUUGAUUUUCUGGCAAUUGUUGAACUUGAGUGUGGUUUUUAGUGAACUUUAGUUGGUGGCAAUUGUUGAACUUGAGUUUGUGGCGUUAGUUGAACUUGAGUUUGUGGUGUUUGUUGAACUUGAGUUUGUGAAGUGUUUGAACUUGAGUUUGUGUUUUUUUUAACUUGAGGUUGUGGCAAUUGUUAAACUUGAGAAUCGGGUGUUGGUUGAACUUGAGUUUGUGGUGUUCAUUGAAC